rnacentral:rRNA from 1 species
GACAGAGGUGCCAAGCGUUAGGCGGAAUCACUGGGCUUAAAGCGUGUGUAGGCGGAUCGUUAAGUACCUUGUGAAAUCCCACGGCUCAACCGUGGAACUGCUGGGUAUACUGGCGAUCUUGAGCCACCUAGGGGCGAGCGGAACAAGCGGUGGAGCGGUGAAAUGCGUAGAUAUCGCUUGGAACGCCAAUGGUGAAAACAGCUCGCUGGGGGUGUGCUGACGCUGAGACACGAAAGCCAGGGGGAGCGAACGGG